rnacentral:rRNA from 1 species
CUUUCCCUCUUCCCUUCGGCCUAACACAUGCAAGUCGAACGGCAGCACAGUAAGAGCUUGCUCUUACGGGUGGCGAGUGGCGGACGGGUGAGGAAUACAUCGGAAUCUACUUUUUCGUGGGGGAUAACGUAGGGAAACUUACGCUAAUACCGCAUACGACCUACGGGUGAAAGCAGGGGAUCUUCGGACCUUGCGCGAUUGAAUGAGCCGAUGUCGGAUUAGCUAGUUGGCGGGGUAAAGGCCCACCAAGGCGACGAUCCGUAGCUGGUCUGAGAGGAUGAUCAGCCACACUGGAACUGAGACACGGUCCAGACUCCUACGGGAGGCAGCAGUGGGGAAUAUUGGACAAUGGGCGCAAGCCUGAUCCAGCCAUACCGCGUGGGUGAAGAAGGCCUUCGGGUUGUAAAGCCCUUUUGUUGGGAAAGAAAAGCAGCAGGUUAAUACCCCGCUGUUCUGACGGUACCCAAAGAAUAAGCACCGGCUAACUUCGUG